GGGAGCGACUUGGCUUCGACAGGAGUAAGUCUGCUUAGAUGGCAUGUCGCUUUGGGCAAAGCGUAAAAAGCCCAAAUAAAAUUAAACGCAAACAACGUUAAAUUCGCUCCUGCUUACGCUAAAGCUGCGUAAGUUCAGUUGAGCCUGAAAUUUAAGUCAUACUAUCUAGCUUAAUUUUCGGUCAUUUUUGAUAGUGUAGCCUUGCGUUUGACAAGCGUUGAGGUGAAAUAAAGUCUUAGCCUUGCUUUUGAGUUUUAGAAGAUGAGCGAAGUAGGGUGAAGUAGUCAUCUUUGCUAAGCAUGUAGAGGUCUUUGUGGGAUUAUUUUUGGACAGGGGUUCGAUUCCCCUCGCUUCCACCA
rnacentral:tmRNA from 1 species